CCUACGGGAGGCAGCAGUGGGGAAUAUUGCACAAUGGGGGAAACCCUGAUGCAGCGACGCCGCGUGAGUGAAGAAGUAUUUCGGUAUGUAAAGCUCUAUCAGCAGGGAAGAAAAAAGACGGUACCUGACUGAGAAGCCCCGGCUAACUACGUGCCAGCAGCCGCGGGAAUACGUAGGGGGCAAGCGUUAUCCGGAUUUACUGGGUGUAAAGGGAGCGUAGACGGUAUGGCAAGUCUGAAGUGAAAACCCAGGGCUUAACCCUGGGACUGCUUUGGAAACUGUUAGACUAGAGUGCUGGAGAGGUAAGUGGAAUUCCUAGUGUAGCGGUGAAAUGCGUAGAUAUUAGGAGGAACACCAGUGGCGAAGGCGGCUUACUGGACAGUAACUGACGUUGAGGCUCGAAAGCGUGGGGAGCAAACAGGAUUAGAUACCCUGGUAGUC
rnacentral:rRNA from 1 species